AAAAGCUCGUAGUUGGAUUUCUGGUUCGGCGUUCCUGGUCCUCGGCCACUAGAUGGCCGUGAGUACCGGUUGUGACGCUAGCCAUCCUUCGGGAGAGCGCGCGGUGCUUAACGGCGCUGCGCGCCAUCUCGAUCCUUUACUUUGAACAAAUUAGAGUGUUUAAAGCAGGCUAAUGCCUUGAAUACCUUAGCAUGGAAUAAUAAGAUAGGACUUUUGGCCUAUUUUGUUGGUCUUUAGGACAAGAGUAAUGAUUGAUAGGGACAGUUGGGGGUGCUAGUAUUGAAUGGCCAGAGGUGAAAUUCUUGGAUUCAUUCAAGACUAACUAAUGCGAAAGCUUCCACCAAGGAUGUCUUCUUUAAUCAAGAACGAAAGUUGGGGGAUCGAAGACGAUCAGAUACCGUCGUAGUCUCA
rnacentral:rRNA from 1 species